rnacentral:rRNA from 1 species
GACGAACGCUGGCGGCGCGCUUAACACAUGCAAGUCGAACGGAAAGGCCUGCUUUCCCUUGUGGAUUGCGGGUACUCGAGUGGCGAACGGGUGAGUAACACGUGAGUGAUCUGCCCCCAACUUGGGUAUAAGCCUGGGAAACUGGGUCUAAUUCCCGAUAGGACUGCAGGGUGGUGCCUGUGGUGGAAAACGAUUUUCUAGUGGUUGGGGAUGAGCUCGCGGCCUAUCAGCUUGUUGGUGGGGUAAUGGCCUACCAAGGCGGCGACGGGUAGCCGGCCUGAGAGGGUGGACGGCCACAUUGGGACUGGGAUACGGCCCAGACUCCUACGGGAGGCAGCAGUGGGGAAUAUUGCACGAUGGGCGGAAGCCUGAUGCAGCGACGCCGCGUGGGGGAUGACGGCCUUCGGGUUGUAAACUCCUUUCGACCGCGAGGAAGCCACCUGGUUGGAAGGGUGGUGACGGUAGUGGUAGAAGAAGCACCGGCUAACUACGUG